rnacentral:rRNA from 1 species
ACGGGUGAGUAACGCGUGGGAAUCUACCUUUUGCUACGGAAUAACUCAGGGAAACUUGUGCUAAUACCGUAUGUGCCCUUUUGGGGAAAGAUUUAUCGGCAAAGGAUGAGCCCGCGUUGGAUUAGCUAGUUGGUGAGGUAAAGGCUCACCAAGGCGACGAUCCAUAGCUGGUCUGAAAGGAUGAUCAGCCACACUGGGACUGAGACACGGCCCAGACUCCUACGGGAGGCAGCAGUGGGGAAUAUUGGACAAUGGGCGCAAGCCUGAUCCAGCCAUGCCGCGUGAGUGAUGACGGUCUUAGGAUUGUAAAGCUCUUUCACCGGUGAAGAUAAUGACGGUAACCGGAGAAGAAGCCCCGGCUAACUUCGUGCCAGCAGCCGCGGUAAUACGAAGGGGGCUAGCGUUGUUCGGAUUUACUGGGCGUAAAGCGCACGUAGGCGGACUUUUAAGUCAGGGGUGAAAUCCCGGGGCUCAACCCCGGAACUGCCUUUGAUACUGGAAGUCUUGAGUAUGGAAGAGGUGAGUGGAAUCCCGAGUGUAGAGGUGAAAUUCGUAGA